rfam:Selaginella moellendorffii unplaced genomic scaffold SELMOscaffold_57, whole genome shotgun sequence.
CCUCUGGGAUGAUUCGAAUCUAGAUGACGAGUCUGAUGCUAGCGCCAUUGCUAAUGAAGCAUCGAACGAGGCAUUUGUCUGAGAGGA